CAAGUCGAACGCGAAAGUGGAGCAAUCCAUGAGUAGAGUGGCAAACGGGUGAGUAACACGUGGGUGACCUGCCUUCGAGCGGGGGAUAACGUCCCGAAAGGGACGCUAAUACCGCACGACAUCCUGCCUUUGAAGAGGCGGAGAUCAAAGCUGGGGAUCGCAAGACCUAGCACUCGAAGAGGGGCCCGCGUCCGAUUAGCUAGUUGGUGAGGUAAUGGCUCACCAAGGCAACGAUCGGUAGCCGGCCUGAGAGGGCGGACGGCCACACUGGGACUGAGACACGGCCCAGACUCCUACGGGAGGCAGCAGUGGGGAAUUGUUCGCAAUGGGCGCAGGCCUGACGACGCAACGCCGCGUGGAGGAUGAAGAUCUUCGGGUCGUAAACUCCUUUCGAUCGAGACGAACGGCCCCUGGGCUAAUCACCAGGGGAGUGACGGUACCGAGAGAAGAAGCCCCGGCUAACUCCGUGCCAGCAGCCGCGGUAAUACGGGGGGGGCAAGCGUUGUUCGGAAUUACUGGGCGUAAAGGGCUCGUAGGCGGCCAACUAAGUCGGACGUGAAAUCCCUCGGCUUAACCGGGGAACUGCGUCCGAUACUGGAUGGCUUGAGUGUGGGAGAGGGAUGCGGAAUUCCAGGUGUAGCGGUGAAAUGCGUANAUAUCUGGAGGAACACCGGUUGGCGAANGCGGCAUCCUGGACCACGACUGACGCUUAGUGAGCGAAAGCCAGGGGAGCAAACGGGAUUAGAUACCCCGGUAGUCCUGGCCCUAAACGAUGAAUGCUUGGUGUGGCGGGUAUCGAU
rnacentral:rRNA from 1 species